AUUGAACGCUGGCGGCAUGCCUUACACAUGCAAGUCGAACGGCAGCACGGGGGCAACCCUGGUGGCGAGUGGCGAACGGGUGAGUAAUACAUCGGAACGUGUCCAGUUGUGGGGGAUAACCAGUCGAAAGAUUGGCUAAUACCGCAUACGCCCGAAAGGGGAAAGCGGGGGACCGUGUGAGGGCCUCGCGCGGUUGGAGCGGCCGAUGUCCGAUUAGCUAGUUGGUGAGGUAACGGCUCACCAAGGCGACGAUCGGUAGCUGGUCUGAGAGGACGACCAGCCACACUGGGACUGAGACACGGCCCAGACUCCUACGGGAGGCAGCAGUGGGGAAUUUUGGACAAUGGGGGCAACCCUGAUCCAGCCAUGCCGCGUGUGUGAUGAAGGCCU
rnacentral:rRNA from 1 species